UUACUUUCGAUCUCAUCGAGUUAAACGUUUUCAUUUGUCGUUUACUUUGACUUAUGACCAAAAACUGCAAAACCAAUUAAAUCCUGAUUAUUCUCAACAGAACCUAUCAGCAAAUGUUAGCAUGCUAACCCACUAAACAUGUGGACGAACAUGGUAAAUAUUCCAACGUUAUCAUUUAGCUCAAUGCUCAAAGAAGCGCCGCCAGUUUCUCCAAUUCUUAGAAAGUCCGCCAUUACUGACGGCUUUUGACUGUUCAUCAUCUGGAACUACUGUGAACUUUUGGAAUUCUGUCCUACAAAUCACUCGCCGCCCCCCCUUUUUUUAUUCUUAUUUAUUAAACUUUUUACAAAAACAGGUCUGGCUUGUUGACCAUAAAAAAGCGUUAACACAAGUGUUUAAAUGACUCAAAAAUCCUUCACUUUAAUACGAAUCCUCUAGUAGGAUUCACACUGUGGCGUUCUUUCUUCCAACCUUUGGACCGUGAGGCCUGAGACGUGUUGUUGACUGAAGCGCUCAAUUGUUCCGAUGUUACCACAUUUCCCAGUAAUGUCGCGAGGGCGUUGCCGCUCUGCUUUGCUGCCGUUGGGCUCAUUGUCUCGGGUACAAGGGGAGCAAACGUAUGCUUGAAGGAGCCCCAUUUAAGACUCAAUCAGCGCUUUCGUGGGGUCCACUGACCCAGAAAAUGGGUUUCCACGGUCAGAGGAAAUGAUACUCCAGUAAUCUCCUUACCGGCAAAACCCCGGGGGAAAGAACGCGCAGAGAUCUCGCACGCAGUCACAGAACACUGUUCAUGAACUUUUCACCCCAACGUGCCGCAGACGAUGUAAUGUCUCAGAUGAUGUCAUUAAUUGACAACAGUUUCAAACCGGUUUCUUUCUUGGCGGGUGAUCCAGACGUUUGGUUGUUGUAUUGUUUAUAGCUUUGGCUGAGAGAGUUUCCCACACAUUCCUGUCGUGUGUGUGUUGAACAAGAGGAUUCUGCAGAGGCGGGUGCAGGUGUAUCGUGUGUCCCUCGUCUUGCGUUCUCGUGGGAGAUGUGUUUGAGAUGCAGCGUCGGGAGGGUUACUUUAAAGAUGUAUUCCAAAAACAAAGUCCAGUUAACUUGUAAAAGAUGUCGUUACAAAUAUCACAAUAUUACGGAGCCAUUACGUAUUGAGUCUCUGUUCCUUUUGGAUUACCUCAAUACCAAAUUAAAUAAAAUAAAGACCAGAGACAAGAAAAAUUAUCGGAAUGAUUUGUGUUUAGAGCGGAAAUGGGAAACAUCACAGGAAAGUUAAAAUACAAACUCAAAUCUUUUGGCCCAUUAGCAGUACCGGAUUUUAAACUGGGAGCAGCAACUAACUAUAUCAAUUAAAUUAAAUCAAAUGCACAUUUUCCCAGUUUAUCCUGUAUCAGUUUUGCAGGAGAAGAAAUGAGAAGCUGAAUCAAACCUUCUUGUCACGCUGGGUUGACUCUGGGAAGAUGGUUUGGAUGAAGUGGAAAGUAAGCACACCAACCUCGUUUGUAGCAAACUUGGACACAACUUGUUCCCUUUUUUCCUGCUUUACGAACAAGAUUUACACCCAGUGGAAGCAUUUCUCCCACCAACGUUAGCCAACGUUGUGACUUGUUUUCUAAUGUGUGAACAUAUCAAUGGUAGUUCAAAAGAAAAUAUGUAUUUUAAGGUAGCUGUCACAAAAUAACUACUUUUUUGUAUUCUUUUUAUUAUGUAACAUUGUUCCAUUUUAUUCAUUAUUCCCCAAACCCCGUUUAUCAACAUUUCACCGUCCAAUAUUUUGGUUUCUUGCCAAAAGCAAGAAUCAAAAUCAAGUGUGCUCUUUUUAUAAAGCUAAUCGUAGCAUGCUAGCACCCUUACGCUGACGCUAGGCGCUUUAGUUGAAGAAGUCUAGAGGAGACUCUGGUUAAAACACAUAUGAUAUAUAAUACAUGCAUUCCAGCUCGAGAGUAAUGAACAUGCCACUCAAACACACAGAAGCCUGCUCCCUAAUGAAAAAGGCUCAACAGACAAAUAAAUGCUAAGUGACCGUUUUUUCAAAGAAAAAAUAGCUCGCUGCUUCCCUGAAGCUAUUAAAUCCACACUGUGACACAGAAGACAUCUGAUACGGGUGGGUCCGAUUCAGUGAAAACAUUUUCCCUGCGCUAUCCGGUUACACAUACCGUUGCAUAAUCGCGAGUAGAUAGGUCAUCCGGCCACUUGUUAUUUAAGAUCUUUAGAGGAGCUGUUUUGACAGUCACGCCGAGUGAUCUGACUUGGAGUCUAGUUUCAUGUGGUAAUUGAUUGUGUGAUGAAGAUAGAAAGACAGACUCGAUCCAGAAAGCACUGAAUGCAACUGCAAAGAGUAGCCAAGCGUUUGCUAGCGGUGUGUAUAAUAAUCUAAUUUACAGCAGUUUCAAUAAAAGUGCUAUGCGAUGGUAACAAUGGAAUGGUUUGGAAAACCUAAGAACCCUUCAAGGGGAGAAGAUGUAAGAAGAUGGAGAAGAUCCAUUGGCCGAUGGCCUUCGGUGGCUUUAGCUGUCGUUGUCUAAAGUGAUGUGGACUCAGCGUAAAGAAACAGCAGUCUGACGCCGACCUGCACCUCUCCAGUUAAACAACCAAUUUGUAUAUUAUGAUUAUUAAACAGUCUCAGUUUAAUACUGAUGCCUCUAUGUGACCUAAACCUGUAUACGAGACCAUCAGAGAGAAGAUUCUGCAUUUCUACUCGAUGCCACCCGGCAAGAUUCUGCUGAAACCAGGUGACUUCCAUGCAGGUUCACCAGAACCUCCACCAGCAGAGACCCAUUCCCCGUGGACAGACCUAGAUCCUCCAGCAGAGACCAGUUCCCCCGUGGACAGACCCGGAUCCUCCA
ensembl:lncRNA